rnacentral:rRNA from 1 species
CUACGGGGUGCUCCAGUGAGGAAUAUUGCACAAUGGGGGGAACCCUGAUGCAGCAACGCCGCGUGGAGGAUGACGCAUUUCGGUGUGUAAACUCCUUUUAUAUGUCAAGAAAAUGACGGUAGCAUAUGAAUAAGCACCGGCUAACUCCGUGCCAGCAGCCGCGGUGAAUACGGAGGGUGCAAGCGUUACUCGGAAUCACUGGGCGUAAAGGACGCGUAGGCGGGUUGGAAAGUCAGGUGUGAAAUCCUACAGCUUAACUGUAGAACUGCACUUGAAACUUCUAAUCUAGAGUAUGGGAGGGGGAGAUGGAAUUAGUGGUGUAGGGGUAAAAUCCGUAGAUAUCACUAGGAAUACCUAAAGCGAAGGCGAUCUCCUGGAACAUUACUGACGCUAAGGCGUGAAAGCGUGGAGAGCAAACAGGAUUAGAUACCCGUGUAGUC